UUGCUACACUAUAACUACUGCUUACUCAACAUCCAGCCACAUAAAGUGGCCUAUUGUUUUUGAUGAGUCAGCGAGACUAUCCCACAGUUCGGACGAGGAAUGAAACUGGUGUUAAAGCGGCUCUGACUUGAACAGGUGUUCACUUUCAAAAAAAAUAAAAAAUAAAAAAAACCGUCGGAUGGCUGACCCGUUUGUUCCAGUCCAUUUAGCUGUCAACUGGUUCAUAGUGAAUAGCUCCAGUUUGAACAGAGGGGCUUCUACGCUCACCGUAGAUGAGGCCUGCAGGAGACCCAGAGGAGAGCAGAGUGACAGGCCAGGGAACACCGAGGAAGAGGAGACACCCAUCAGCGCAACUCUGCUGGGCUAUGAGAUUCUGAGGGAGAGGGAAAAGUUCACGGUUUAUAAGUUUCUUAUAAAGAGGCCUGAAGGAGGCAGCUGGCUGAUCUUCAGAAGAUACGCAGACUUCUGCAUACUCAGCGAUCAGGUGGGAGUUAUUUACACACACCGACCGCACAAUUCCAUCAAGGCUGACCUCGUACGAAGGUCACGACCUGACAGGGCGUGAAGCCAAGAACAACACGAAGGAGGAGGUUUAGUUUCUCUACAGGUUAGGAAUCUGUUAAGAGCAGGUACAGUGCUGUGAAAAACGUUCCCUCACCCCAAAGAUAUUAGCACAAGGUACGAUCCCUUCCUGCAGACGGCACCCUGAGUCGUCUUUGUUCAACUAUUGAAGAGAUCUCUGGUUUCUCAGCGAACCUGUGAGAUAUUUUCUGUCUGUGGACGACCCAUCGAGUCCCUUUUACAGUACGGAGGAAAGCAGGGUGAGGUUAGUUUUUCAAACGGGUUGAAUACUGACUUCCUGAUUCAGUUCAAACGCUGUUUGUCUGCCGAGCAGGCAUUUUGUGAAACUCUGGAGCAAAAGAAUCAUCUUCUCCUCAGAGAACUCCUGGAAAAACAGAGAGAAGUUGACUCGUUAACCAAGUCUUUAGAGGAUAAAGAGAACUACAUCGACCUGCUGUGGAGGAAAGGCAGGGCUUUGAACGUUCCAGAUUUGGAAUUCCAUCCACACAAAAAGGAAGACACAAAUGUGAACGAACUGAUGCAAAAUCUGAGAAUUCUCAGAAUGACAAAGGGAGCCAAGGAAGAAUUAAAUCAAGACACAAGCUGGAACUAGAAGCUUUUUAUCUUGAAUCAUCAGUAAAGAAAAAAAUUAACUAGUUAUAUAAGAAAAUGUAUUGAAAUAGUCUUUUUUGUGUUAGUGUUCUUGAUGUGCUGAAACGUAAAUGUUUUUUGUUUUUUUGUUUUUUUCAUUUUCUGUACCACUGAUGAACAAUACAGUCAGGGCGCAGCAGCAGUAAUGUGUGAUUUACCUGGGAUUUUUUUUUUAAAAAGUGAGGUUCUGUGCAAAGAUUGUGAACAGUAAAUAUAUUACUUGCAGUAGGUCAAGUCUUCAAAGAUGAAAACUUCACAAUUUUAUUCACCUUUACAUAUUUUAAAAGGACUUGGAUUUCAGAGUGGAUGAUUUAGUUUCGGAAUUCGAUUAUGCCACUAGGAGUAAGUGUGUUGCAUGCACAUCAGUAGGAGAGGAAGUAAAGAUGUUUGUUAACUGACUGCAAUCGUUUUAUAUCCAAAAACGGUUUCAGUGUAACUGUUUUGAAGACUGAAUAUUAGUGUCUUAAUCCAUCAGCUGAAAUCAGCAGAGGUGACAUGUAGGAAAUGACCACAAGGUGGUGCUGUACAUCCAAGAGUGAAGCUACUGAACCCAGAGGCAUGUUGGUGAUUCUUAAAAGCCUAAGCAGGACAAUAAGCAGAAGUUUUGUUGUUCACACUUUCGAAGCAAUAUAACAUUUGCACAUUUAUGUCUGAAAGGAGAGCUGAUUCAUUCUAGUCCUGUUGUAGGACUGAAUGGCCUUUUCAUGCCUCUUCACUAGAAAUAUAUCCAAAUACAAAAUAAAUCUCUGAAAAGGCUUUUAGCUGCCAUCCAUGACAUUAAAAAUGCCUGCUAGCUUUUAAGAAAGGACUCAUGUGUGGGAGUCUAAAAUAACAGGUGAAAACAUUGACUAUCAGGAUUUGAGCCAUACCUAAAAUCAAUAAAUUAGAAUAUGUUCACUGAUGUGGACUAUCUUUUGAAAAUAACUUUUAAUCAAAUGUUAAAGCUGCUUUUAAC